UACGGGGGGAGCAAGCGUUGUUCGGAUUUACUGGGCGUAAAGGGCGCGUAGGCGGCCACCGCAAGUCGACUGUGAAAUCUCCGGGCUUAACCCGGAAAGGUCAGCCGAUACUGCGGGGCUAGAGUGCAGAAGGGGCAACUGGAAUUCUCGGUGUAGCGGUGAAAUGCGUAGAUAUCGAGAGGAACACCUGCGGCGAAGGCGGGUUGCCGGGCUGACACUGACGCUGAUGUGCGAAAGCUAGGGGAGCGAACGGG
rnacentral:rRNA from 1 species